UGUGUGUGUGUGUGUGUGUGUGUGUGUGUGUGAAAUACAACCAUUGCUUUUCAAACUCCAAGAUGCAAGAUGCGUCAGGUAGGCUUUGGGGACUCUGUUAAAAACACACUCCAACUCAACAGUGAUUCUGAGUCUGGUUCUUAGAGCCACGGGAGGCGCAAAGAAGAAAGAAAUUUUAUCCUGAGAUCUAAGAACACUGAGGACACCAUCCCAUGAGCUUCGGGGAGUUUGAAAGCUCCUAAAACUUUACAGAGUUCCCAUGGUUUGUGCAUUAUCCACAUUGUUUUAGGAAAGUAUAGGAUAGGGCUGAAGCAAUGACUCAACAGUUAAGAACACUGGCUCCCUCUCCAGAGGACCUGAGUUGUGUUCCCAGCACCCACCUGGCAGCGCUGACUACAGCCCCAAGCAGUCCAGUAGCCCCUACUUCUGAGCUCUGGGGACACGUACACACAUGACAUUCGCUCACACCCAAACGCAGAGAUACACAUAAAUAAAAGUAAUGAGAAUGAAUCUCAUUACGGAGGGAGAAAAACAUUGAUAAAGAUAUUGAGGCAAGUAAACAAUUGCCCCGAGGCCGCUUGUGUGCCUCUGAACCUUAAGAACAUGGAAAGACAAUGGCCCUACGCAAGGGCUGCCCUUGUUUGUUUCAACUUUGGGAAAGAUUUGGGCAGCUGCUGUAUUACAAACCUCCCCAGGGACAAGUUCAUGUGGUGAAGAGUAGGACAGGCCUCCGGGCGAAAGCUAGUCAGUUCAACAGGGUGUAAAGACCCACACCCUGACUGCAGCAACUUAGAAACUGAGUUUCUCCAGUUAAACCUUCAAAUGAGUUCCCCAGCCCAGUGGAAGCCAUGACAUCCUCCCUGAAGACUUUAAAUCGAUGUGCUCAUCUAAGCUGCCUCCCAGUUACUAACCAGAAGACUAUUGUGUGUUCAAUGGGUUAUUGUUGUAAUUAUAAAUCUGCUGGCCUGCCCUGUCAGCUGGGUACCCCGUCCCUUUAAGAGGCAAACUCCUCCCACCCCCAAUCUCCCCCUUCUGAUCUUGCCCACCUCCAGUCUACCCAAACUGACUUGUAUCUCCUAUCUAUGCUUCUGAAGAGGUAGUCUCUGCCUCUCCCCUCCCCCUUUCUCCUUUUUCUCUUUCUCCCCCACCGUCCCCAUAACCCCUUAUAUCCUUCCCAAUACUAAACUCUAUACCCAAGUCUCUCUGCAUGGCAUCCUGUUUGCCUCCCACCCACAGGGGUCAUGCCUCCAUGAAUUGGUGCAUGACUCGACCAGGCUCUCUCCAUGUUCCCUCCCACCCAUGGACGGUCCGGCUAAAGCACAUGGGAAUCCCGGAUCCGAAGCUGCUACUACGCACAACACCAACUAAAUGCCAUGAACAACAUGUGGUUUCUCUAUGCAGCAUGUGACCUCUACCAUCUUGACUAAGGGCAGGCCGUGUAACCAAGUCGCCAUCUUUACUGAGAGGAGAAGAUUGGCUCCUAGCAGCAGCACUAUCUUUCCUCCAAAGAAUACAGAAGACGGGUAGACAGAGAAUAUCAUCCAGCCACAGUUCACUCAGCAAGUGAAAGUGCUAACCACUGGGCAUAACAGCCUUUCAUCGAAACUCCUGAAGAUCUCCAGGCAGUGGACAGAAUUGACUGGAAUCAAUGGCCUAGCUGUUCAGGACAAGACCUUGUCAGAUCCAAGAGACAUCGGAGAGUUCCACAGCGCCACAAAUCCUGGACAGGAGUGAAGCAACAAGCUACCCCAGGAUGUGACCAGAUCCAAGCUUUCUCAGGUCCCCCAAGACUUCGACAUCCACAAAUCACCAGGAAGCAGUCUCGAGAACUAGACGCUCUUAUCCCCUCAAUCUGCCAUGCCUAACUCCUUGCCAUUUUAUUAUAAGAGAAAGGCGGGAAUGUUGUAAUUAUAAAUCUGCUGACCUGCCAUGUCACCUGAGUACCCUGCCCCUUUAAGAGAUAAACCCUGCCCACCUCCACUUGUCCCCCAUCCAGCUGAGGGAAGCUGAUCUCACUCCUCCUAUCCAUCUCUUUUCCUCUGUAUCUGUCCUUCUGAAGGGGCAGUCUCUGCCUCUCCCUUCCUCCUUUCUCUUGCUUCUCUUUCUUUGUUUCCCCUCUCUCCUUCCCUCUCCCCCCCCAUAACUGCUUACCCUUAUACCUUUCCCAGUACCCACUAAAUAAACUCUAUAUCUAAGCUCUCUCUGCAUGGCAUAUCUGUCUGCCUCCUUCCUGCCAGGGUCAUGCCACCAUGAAUCAAUCAUACCAGUUACUGUUUCAACCACAGGUCAUUCAUUAGAGAGCAACAGGUAACUCAUACAAAGCCAUACAGCAAAUGCUGACUCAGAACAGCUAACAUGACUGAAUCUUACUAAACAACCCCAGAAAACUACAAGAAGAUGUUGCUAGGAGGUGUCAGAAUCAGACAUUGGAUUCUCAAGGUCACAUUUAACCUUCACAACCAUCUCUGAGACAGACAGUAUUAACUCUGUGACACAAAUGAGGAAUCCGAGUCUUCAAAAACAAUUUUCCUGGCUCAAAAGAAUCCAGUAUUAAAGCUAGAGCUUACUGAUUCUCACAGUGAUACAUCAAAAUAAGUUACUUGCCAUAGUCAACAAUCCCAAUUCAUAAACACAGAAUUAUUUGCACCUUCAAAAAAUGAUGUGGCCACUGAAUUUGAGCAACAGUGACAGAAAUGGCCAACAAGCAAAGGUUGAUUCAGUGUUUAGUACAAUUCUGUUCUCAGUAAGUUUUCUGGGUGUAUCUAAUGGUUGCAGCUCCUGUUCCCCCAAAAUGCUGAACAUCAUGAGAGUUUCCCCUGCUGGAAUCUAAGAAGGCUGGCAAUGGUGAGACGGACUGUUCUCUGAUAAAACAGAGAAGGGUGGCAUGCUUUCUUUGAUUGGAGAGACAACUUGUGGUUGGUCUUCUUCACCCUUGGGCAGGAUGAUGGAGCAACCGCAGCUGGAUGUGCAGCAGCAUCUACCUUGUUCUGUAUCCCUAAGUCUCUUUUUCCUUGCACCCCUUAAUAGAUUAUUAAAUAGAUUUCUGUGGAAUCUCACUUCAUCUGGUACCCAACGUGGGGCUUGAACCCAAGACCCUGAGAUUAAGAGUCUCAUACUCUGCCAACUCCCACAAUAACACACCUUUAAUCCCAGCACUUGAGAGGCAGAGGAAGG